GACCCUACGGGACGCAGCAGUAGGGAAUAUUGGACAAUGGGGGGAACCCUGAUCCAGCGACGCCGCGUGAGUGAAGAAGUAUUUCGGUAUGUAAAGCUCUAUCAGCAGGGAAGAAAGAAAUGACGGUACCUGACUAAGAGGCCCCGGCUAACUACGUGCCAGCAGCCGCGGUAAUACGUAGGGGGCAAGCGUUAUCCGGAUUUACUGGGUGUAAAGGGGGCGCAGACGGCGAUGCAAGCCAGGAGUGAAAGCCCGGGGCCCAACCCCGGGACUGCUCUUGGAACUGCGUGGCUAGAGUGCAGGAG
rnacentral:rRNA from 1 species